rnacentral:rRNA from 1 species
UACAGAGGGGGCAAGCGUUGUUCGGAAUUACUGGGCGUAAAGGGCGCGUAGGCGGCCUUCUAAGUCGAACGUGAAAUCCCCGGGCUCAACCCGGGAACUGCGUCCGAUACUGGAAGGCUUGAAUCCGGGAGAGGGAUGUGGAAUUCCAGGUGUAGCGGUGAAAUGCGUAGAUAUCAGGAGGAACACCUGCGGUGUAGACGGCUUACUGGACCAUCACUGACGCUGAGGCACGAAAGCGUGGGUAGCAAACAGG